GACUUUCAAUGUCCUUUCCCAUGAUACAUCACACCUGCUUGUGUGUUUACAGACUAUGGGCAACAGCAAGUGAAGACAGCACUCAUUAUAUUCUUAUUCUGUCAGGUCGGAAACUUCUCCAUCAACAUCACUCUACGCAACCUCAAAUGUCCAGGUUCGAAGGUCAAGAAGAUCCCACACCCAACUAAGAAUCCAUUCACCUGGAUCUUCGCGUUGGUGUCUUGUCCCAACUAUACAUACGAGCUGGGGUCAUGGAUGGGCUUCACAGUGAUGACCCAGUGCUUGCCGGUGGCUUUCUUCACCAUCGUGGGCUUUGUCCUGAUGACGGUGUGGGCCAGGGGAAAGCACCGAAACUACCGCAAGGAGUUCCGUGACUACCCCACCCUGCGCUCCCCUAUACUGCCCUUCAUCCUUUAGUCAGAGAGGGGCUGGUCCCACACAUAACUUCACCCCUUUCAGCCCCACUGCAGUAUACAGCUGGUGCUUCUGACUGGGUAGGUUGGAAGGAGUCGUUGGAAUAGUUUAACUACACUGUGACUGGUUUUGGGGAGUUGAAAACCCCUUUGAUGACUUAAAUGCAGAUGAGUCUUAAUCUGAUGUAAUGUGUACUACCGGUAUCUACUGUACAUGUCAAUGUGUGGAGGCACAAAUGAAUGGAAAGAAAUACACUUGUUUUACUAAAGUGGUGACUUAACUGUCGACGAAAC